rfam:Triticum aestivum genome assembly, contig: Triticum_aestivum_CS42_TGACv1_scaffold_080610_1DS
CUAGUACUCCCUCUGUCCCAAAAUUUUUGUCUUAGAUUUAUCUAGAUACGGAUGUAUCUAACACUAAAAUGUGAAUAGAUGCAUCCGUAUCUAGACAAAUCUAAGACAAGAAUUUUGGGACGGAGGGAGUAUCUG